rnacentral:rRNA from 1 species
UGGGGAAUCUUGGACAAUGGGCGAAAGCCUGAUCCAGCCAUGCCGCGUGAGUGAAGAAGGCCCUAGGGUUGUAAAGCUCUUUCAGCGGGGAAGAUAAUGACGGUACCCGCAGAAGAAGCCCCGGCUAACUUCGUGCCAGCAGCCGCGGUAAUACGAAGGGGGCUAGCGUUGUUCGGAAUUACUGGGCGUAAAGCGCGCGUAGGCGGAUUGUUAAGUCAGGGGUGAAAUCCCGAGGCUCAACCUCGGAACUGCCUCUGAUACUGGCAAUCUCGAGUCCGGAAGAGGUUGGUGGAAUUCCGAGUGUAGAGGUGAAAUUCGUAGAUAUUCGGAGGAACACCAGAGGCGAAGGCGGCCAACUGGUCCGAGACUGACGCUGAGGCGCGAAAGCGUGGGGAGCAAACAGGAUUAGAUACCCCCGUAGUCC